rnacentral:rRNA from 1 species
GACAGAGGGGGCAAGCGUUGCUCGGAAUUACUGGGCGUAAAGCGCACGUAGGCGGAUUGUUAAGUCGGGGGUGAAAUCCUGGAGCUCAACUCCAGAACUGCCUUCGAUACUGGCGAUCUCGAGUUCGGGAGAGGUGAGUGGAACUGCGAGUGUAGAGGUGAAAUUCGUAGAUAUUCGCAAGAACACCAGUGGCGAAGGCGGCUCACUGGCCCGAUACUGACGCUGAGGUGCGAAAGCGUGGGGAGCAAACAGG